rnacentral:SRP_RNA from 2 species
GCCGGGCGUGGUGGCGUGUGCCUGUAAUCCCAGCUACUUGGGAGGCUGAGGUAGGAGAAUUGCUUGAAUCCGGGAGGCGGAGGUUGCUGUGAGCCGAGAUUGUGCCACUGCACUCCACCCUGGGUGACAGAGCAAGAUUCCAUCUCAA